ACCAUUUAUCGGCGCAGAAGUGCGCCAUUACAUUUAUAUUUACACACGUGGGUAAGCUCUCGGGUAAGCUAAGAGAGGCUAAGAGGGGUUUGUGACCGCACUUUACCGCUGCCACCAUGUACCUGAUGUACACUGAGGAUGAGAGUGGUAACCGGGUGUACACCCUGAAAAAGGUCUCGGAAGACGGGCGACCCACCACGUCUGCCCACCCGGCCCGCUUCUCGCCCGAAGACAAGUACUCGCGAGAAAGGAUCACCAUCAAGCGCCGCUUCGGGCUGCUGCCCAUCCAGAAGGCCAAGGUGGCCUGCUGAGAGACGGGUGGCUCCGGUGUCACACCAAAGGGGACAAUGGACAUUGUGCCAGAGGGCAUCCUUCGGUAUCGCACGGUGUCGGAAGAUUGUACCGGUCACGCAGUUCAUACAUCUUAUGAAUCAUGUGACCAUGGGAUUUGCGAAGUGGUGCCACGACUCGCGACCAUAAUCUAGCACCGUGAUGGUCGAUCUGAAAGCGACGUAGUCGUCACCGAUGAAUGGGGUUUAAUCAUUACACGCGUUUUGUAAAUAAACAUCGAGAUGUC